rnacentral:tRNA from 1 species
GGCUUAGUUGGUAAAGCACAAGGCUCUUAACCUUGUGGACGUGGGUUCAAGCCCCGU